AGUGAACGCUGGCGGCAGGCCUAACACAUGCAAGUCGAACGGCAGCACAGUAAGAUCUUGCUCUUACGGGUGGCGAGUGGCGGACGGGUGAGGAAUACAUCGGAAUCUACUUUUUCGUGGGUGAUAACGUAGGGCAACUUACGCUAAUACCGCAUACGACCUACGGGUGAAAGCAGGGGAUCUUCGGACCUUUCGCGAUUGAAUGAGCCGGAGCCGCAUUAGCUAGUUGGCUGGGUAAAGGCCCACCAAGGCGACGAUGCGUAGCUGGUCUGAGAGGAUGAUCAGCCACACUGGAACUGAGACACGGUCCAGACUCCUACGGGAGGCAGCAGUGGGGAAUAUUGGACAAUGGGCGAAAGCUUGAUCGAGCAAUGCCGCGUGGGUGAAGAAGGCCUUCGGGUUGUAAAGCCCUUUUGUUGGGAAAGAACAGAAGUAGGUUAAUACCUCGCUGUUCUGACGGUACCUAAAGAAUAAGCCCCGGCUAACUUCGUG
rnacentral:rRNA from 1 species